rnacentral:misc_RNA from 1 species
AGCAGCCGCGGUAAUUCCAGCUCCAAUAGCGUAUAUUAAAGUUGUUGCGGUUAAAAAGCUCGUAGUUGAAUUUCGGGAUCAAUUAGUCGGUCGUGCCUCUGGUACGUACUGGUUUUAUUGGUUCCUCCCUUCUGACGAAACAUGAUGUCAUUAAUUUGGUGUCGUGGAGAAUCAGGACUGUUACCUUGAAAAAAUUAGAGUGUUUAUAGCAGGCUAACGCUUGAAUACAUUAGCAUGGAAUAAUGAAAUAGGACGUUCGACCCUAUUUUGUUGGUUUCUAGGAUCGACGUAAUGAUUAAUAGGGAUAGUUGGGGGCAUUAGUAUUCAAUUGUCAGAGGUGAAAUUCUUGGAUUUAUUGAAGACUAACUACUGCGAAAGCAUUUGCCAAGGAUGUUUUCAUUAAUCAAGAACGAAAGUUAGGGGAUCGAAGACGAUCAGAUACCGUCGUAGUCUUAACCAUAAACUAUGCCGACUAGGGAUCGGAUGAUGUUAAUUUUUUAAUGACUCAUUCGGCGCCUUA